AACCCCGCGCCCUUCGGGGCGCACCGCCACACCCCCGUUCUCCGCUCCCCGGCCACCUCACGGCGGACACGCCGCCCGGCGGGUCCCACGCCUCUGUCGGUCCACUUUCCUCCCCGGCCUUCCCUUCCGCCGGGCCGCGGGCGCUCCGUACCGGUCUCCGCCCGCCCCCCCGCCCGCAGCGGUUCGCCCGCCGGCCAUCGCGAUCCGCCGGCGGGGCGCGGGCCGCCCCCUGGCGUCGGGCUGCCGCAGCGUCCCCGCGGCCGCUGCCCGGCCGUUACCUCGGCCCCAGCCGCCGCCGCCGCUCUGGCGGCUCUCGGCGGGGCGCCGCACCCCGCUCGGCGGCGGAGGUAGGCUCCGUCCCUUCACCCUUCCUGUGCUACGACUGCUGUCGUCGUUCGUGUUUGACGUACGGAGCGGCGGCGCCGCCAUCCCCGGCCCCCCGUCCUGGAGCGGCUGCCGUGGCUCAGGUGCUGACAGCCGAACCGGCGGCAGCUCCGGGUUCGCUCGAGGGCAGCGGCUGCCGGCGCAGGAGGGUGCGCAGAGCGGCGGCGAAGGAAAAAAAGGUGCGAACCCGGAAGUACACCCGCCACGCCGCCGCCCGCAGGGAAACACCCGCGCCCAGACACAACAAUGCGGAGCCACUUCGCCUCCGCCGAGCGUAACUUUUCCUCCGGCAUCGAAAAAACCCGCCUGCCGCUCCCUCCUCGCAGCCGCCCGGGGCCGGCGGACCCGAGCACGCCCCGGCAGGUGCGGCACCAGAGGGAGGUCGAGACCCGGCGGCGGCCCCGCCGCGAAGUAGAGGCUCCAAGUGGCCACUUCCCACAUGCACUAGCAAAAUGGAGAUGGUUCCCAGUGGUGUGACAGGCUCACCAGGUGCUCAUGCUGAAGAUUAGCCAACUGGUAACUGGUGACGUCACACCAUCUUUACUCUGGCAUUAUGGAAGAAGUGUGAGUGACCUCCCCGAAAAAGGAUAAUGAAAUGGCCUUGCAGAAGAGAGCUCCUAACAAAGUGCGAGGACCAGCACAGGAAGAAUCACUUUUUUUUUAAUUUCCCUUUCCCCGCCCCAGCAUUAACUUUAAGAAAUAGGCAAGGCAGAGCCUGACCUGAGACAGGAUCUGACAUCUUACCACCAAAUGACUUAAUCACCACAAAGUGUGUUCAGUGGGGAGUGGUAUGAGGAAUGGCAGUCGGAGAUGUGACAGUGCUGCCCGCUCCGAGAGCCAGCAGCCCUGUCACCUGCUCUCUCCUGCAUGAAUGCUUCUGCUGAAUCCCUGCUGACACAGAAGAAAGUAGACUGUGAGCAAAUCAAACUCUUUGAAAUGAAGCUGCUCUCUCAUUCCCCCUUCCUCCCCCACCCCAAGGCACUCCUGACAUCCUCCUAAUUUUGUGUAAAGCUAUUUGUCCCUUCCCUCCAGAGACUACAUCAAACAAUGCUGCCAUUGUCUCAAGCCUUCCCAUACGUCCACCCCAGGAUUCAGCAAGGCAAGUGAGAAGCCUUUCUUAAAUAUACUUUGAAGAAACUAAAUAAUUUUUUAUCCCUUUCCUACUUACACUUCGUGUUAAAUAAAACUGGACAUUCUUUCUACCUACUUUCCCUGGUACUCACCAAAUAAGUCUGUUCUUUGAAAAAACAGCAGGUUACCACGCAAGUGAUGUGCAAACUACAUAAUGGUUGCUAAUUAAUCCACUCUUGUCCAAAAAACACUACCUAACCAAGAGUCGUCUAGCAAGCAGACCUACUUUCCUGUCGUUUUGGAACCUCAAACGAAACCACAACAGAGCACAGAGUAAAUGAAACUCGGGACAGCCAUUUUCUGUGUAUCUGAAAGACACCAAAGUACUUAGAGGCAAGUCCUCAUGGAGUAAAGUACCAUUGUUCCUAUGACUCCUGAAUCAAUUCAUCUGUCAAAUGUGACCUACAUUACAGAUUGUGUCCUGACCUUUGAAGUAUCACCACAGCUGUGCUCCUCUUGGACAAUUCAAGGCUCUGGUUGAAGUAAGGAAGUUAAAACUUUCUCUGUCAAAGAGAUACAGAGAUAGAGCAAACUUCCAGAGAAGAUGAUGAUCUGGAAUAGGAAAUGGCACCAUCCCUUCUGUUUUAAAGACAUCUUUCCAUCGUUUGCGACACCGAUAGAUGCUAACUUCCAUUAUAUUUUUCUUCAAAGGGAGUAUUAAAGAAUUCUUUGUUCUGCUCUGGCCUGACAACUGUUUCACCUAGCAAUAAAACAAUAUAGAAAUUAUGUUUUCCAAUUACCAAAUUUUUAAUUUCAACAUGAAAGGAGUUGGUGAGCAGUAAUACUUUUCAUAACUGUGAAAAGCUUUCUUGUCCUUUCUAUAGUGUCAGAUUUUUGCAUACAAUUGAAGCUGCUAAUCAGUUCUCCUUCAUUAAAAACAAAACCAAAAACCAACCAACCAACCAAACCCAGAAAACCCCAUUUUUUUGAACUUACAAGAGAAGAUUGAAAUUUACUGAUAAUUCUCCUUUUUUUUCUUCUUUUUAAAUUUUAUAUAGAAAGUCUCUUUCAAUUUUACAUUAACAAAAGUACUAAGUUUCUUAUGUACUUUUUCUGCAUUACACCAAUAUCUAUGCUUGUGCAGUCAGCCAGUGAAACUUUCAUUAAUGAACCUGGUUGAAAGGUAAAAGCAAAAAAAUAGUUUAAUCUGUAUUAUGUUUACAUUUAAGCCUGUCAGUUUUCUGGACUUAUGUGGGAAAGUGUUGAAAAACGUGUAACUUAAAUACCAAGUAUAGGAUGAGUUUUCUUCCUCAGCCCAACUGUGUUUCGUCUCAGUCCCCUUGAAGAAACUCAUAUGUCUACGAGAUGCCACCUGGAAAGCUUCUGACUUUGGUCUUUCAGAUACAAAAAGGCUAUGAAAUAUUUUUCAUAGAUAGCUCUUCCCUGGCUGCAUAUUUGAGAGGAUUCAGUUGUGCUGUUGAGCCCACCACCUGCACAGACUCAUGUACACACCAGCACUGAGGGACGGCUGCUGAUUUGCACACCAUGCAACAGGAGGGGAGGAGAAAACAUCAUGUGCUCUAGGGAAAUGCAAGGGAAUUGAAAGCUUACUGCCUUUAGGAUGUCAAGGCAACAUGCUUGGAGGUCUGCACAUAUUUGCAAGACACAGUACUCAUCUUACGGCUCGCUUUUAAUCCUAUGCUAGUUGUCCUUUCAGGCAAUUCUGCCAUUUCCACUGCUUUCCCUCCGUCUCUGAAUUAGCCAGCAUUUCCACCUCACUGACAGUAAAUUGCAUUGCCCUCAGUGCCUGUGAGCACAUAAAUAUUUUUCUAAUAUGAUUAUUUAAGAUACUAAUAUACAAAUGAGCUCGAGAAUGGAAUAAUGCGAUGGAGUUCUUUCAGUGCCAUAUUUGGAAACCAAAUUUCAUAGGACUACAUUUAAGAUGCUCUUUUUCCCUUUAACCAAGAGAUAAUGUCUUCCACCAAGGUAUCUUCCACUAAUAAACAUUAUAAUAACUCUAUGCAUAUAUCCUGGCCUAUUCCACUGUGGGCUCAGGAUUCAGUAACUGCACAGAUUUGUGUAAGAGAAAGUUGAGGCUGACUCAGCUGAGAGUUCACUGAGAGCUGCUGUAGACCUUUAACUAUGUAUAAGGUUGUGCUGACAGCAAUCUUGCUUAGAGCUUCAAAAACUUUAAUACCCUACGGAGAGAAAAAUACUUUAAAAUGCAGAUCUGCACAAGCUCAUUGGCCAAGCUCUUAGGUGGUUACAAAGUAAAACCAACUCCUUUGCCUUGAGUAGUUUUAGAUAGUGUAGUUUUCUUCUUAUCCAACUCAGUAGCAUAGAUGCUCUGCCAGGCUUUGAAGGACAAAGAGGAAAAGUAUGAAAAAAGAAAGACACCCAUGACAAACAGAUGGAAAAAAAUAGGGCAAACUUAUUCUCACUGCUCAGCUUAUAGGUUUGUCAGGAUACUAAAUAAAUAAACUGUGUGACUGCCCAGAACUUGCUACAUUGAUGCCCAUUCUUUUGUAACUCACUUACUAACGAUCUAAUUUAGCAGAAAUGUGGUCCAUAGCUACAUGAAGUUCAUCUUUUUCAGCUUUGUUACUGAAGUAAUUCAGCAGCUUAGUUGGCCUGACUUCAGAACUAUUAAUUCCUGAGAUAUGGUAGUAAGUAGAGACUUUGUUAGAAUAUUUUUUCUUCCUGUGAAACACUGAUCUCCAAAGUCAAAACUCACACAGCUACUGAAGCUAUUUUUAGAUAUCCAAAGUUAAUCCAGCUCUGAGCAACACUAAUGAUGAUAUAUCCCUUUAACUACAGGCAUGGAAGCUUUACUCUGUUCUUUUAAAACUGUCCCUACCAUGUAUCCAAUUGCACAUCUUGGAUAUCUGGCAGGCCAGUUUCUGAUGGGGUACUAUCCUUCUUCCUCAAAGUUAUCUAGUCAUUUAAGUAUGGCAAAGACCCAAAUCGAAGAUUUUUUUUUUUUUUUUUAUAAGGCCAACUUGAAUUUUCAUUUGCAUUUAAGCUCUAGUUAAUGAACAUUAAUUUGCUAUAAUGAUUAUAUCAUAGAUGGGACACAUACAUUUUUGAUUAACCAUGUUUAAGGAGCAAAUAUUUGAGUCAUGGGACAAAUAUGUAAAUAGUACUUGCACUAUAAUUUGUAAUUGCAUUAAUUAACACACAUUAAAACAGACUGACUGUUUAUGAAACAGCCAGUGGGAGGUCAUUAGAUAAUGGACAAUGCAAAUUAUGGCCUGGUAGUAAUUCAUGAUUAACUCUAAUUAACUAAGUAAUGAACUCUGUUGGGGAAUAGAAAAUAAGAAUGAUUUUACUAAUUUAAAUGUGAAGUCCAAUAUCCUAAUUUCCAGCAAUAAGCAGGAUGAUUCAUUAAAGCAUGUUGAAGCAUAUAAGGAUAUUCUCCUGAUCAGUAUAUUCUUCUGGUCCUGUCCACUGGCAUUUUAGAAGCAGAGUUGUAUCUAUGACUUUGUGUUCAACAGCCUUUGAACUUUUUUUUUCUAGGAACUUCUCCAGCUGCUUUUUGAUCCCAUCUAUACUUUGGGCUACCCCCAUGUCCUAUGGCAAUUAGUUCCAGUUUCCUAUGUGCUGUAUGAAGUAAUCCUUCCUUCAUAUUCUGCUUUCUACCUGGCAAUUUUGCUUGAUGUUCCGUGGUCAGUUUGUGUGCACCUUUUCUGUGCUAUUCCUGACCUUACAGAGCUCUAUUAUACCUUCCUCCUCACUCCCAGCUUUGUCUUUGAGUAUUUGGACACUUGUCAGAUGGGAAGAGUUUCAUAAUUUAACUAUGCCUGACAUCCUUUUGUAUACUUUCUGAGCUGGGUUAGGGGGCAGAACUGCCCACAGUAUUCAGUGGUGCAAUGACAUUUUCUGUUUGUUUUUUAUUCUCUGUUGAUCUGUCUGGGAGAACAGAUACCAUGGGUCAUUGUUGCUGCCUGCCCUUGGAAGAGAUGGUGCCUGCAUGGAGAUCAUACCUUGUGGGAGGCUUGGGAUUCCUUCUGCCAGACCCAGCAUGGGACUUUCUUUAGGAGCCAUCAUCAGCCUUCAAAGUAAAAUGAACUCAUGUUUCAUCCAUGAAGGAAUGUACUCACUAGUCAUAUAAUUAAACACAUUAGUGGUUCUGUGGGGCUGACAAAAA